AUUGAACGCUGGCGGAAUGCUUUACACAUGCAAGUCGAACGAUGAACCUUAGCUUGCUAAGGGGCUUAGUGGCGAACGGGUGAGUAAUAUAUCGGAACGUGCCUUGUAAUGGGGGAUAACUAGUCGAAAGAUUAGCUAAUACCGCAUACGCCCUGAGGGGGAAAGUAGGGGAUCUUCGGACCUUACGUUAUAAGAGCGGCCGAUAUCUGAUUAGCUAGUUGGUGGGGUAAUGGCCUACCAAGGCGACGAUCAGUAGCUGGUCUGAGAGGACGACCAGCCACACUGGAACUGAGACACGGUCCAGACUCCUACGGGAGGCAGCAGUGGGGAAUUUUGGACAAUGGGCGCAAGCCGAUCCAGCCAUUCCGCGUGAGUGAAGAAGGCCUUCGGGUUGUAAAGCUCUUUCGCAAGGGAAGAAAACUUACCAUCGAAUAAAUGGUGAGGCUGACGGUACCUUGAUAAGAAGCACCGGCUAACUACGUG
rnacentral:rRNA from 1 species